rnacentral:rRNA from 1 species
UACGUAGGGUGCAAGCGUUAUUCGGAAUUACUGGGCGUAAAGCGUGCGCAGGCGGUUGUGCAAGACCGAUGUGAAAUCCCCGGGCUCAACCUGGGAAUGGCAUUGGUGACUGCACGGCUAGAGUGUGUCAGAGGGGGGUAGAAUUCCACGUGUAGCAGUGAAAUGCGUAGAGAUGUGGAGGAAUACCGAUGGCGAAGGCAGCCCCCUGGGAUAACACUGACGCUCAUGCACGGAAGCGUGGGGAGCAAACAGG